AGAGUUUGAUCCUGGCUCAGGAUGAACGCUGGCGGCAUGCCUAAUACAUGCAAGUCGAACGAAGUCUUCAGGAAGCUUGCUUCCAAAAAGACUUAGUGGCGAACGGGUGAGUAACACGUAGGUAACCUGCCCAUGUGUCCGGGAUAACUGCUGGAAACGGUAGCUAAAACCGGAUAGGUAUACGGAGCGCAUGCUCUGUAUAUUAAAGCGCCCAUCAAGGCGUGAACAUGGAUGGACCUGCGGCGCAUUAGCUAGUUGGUGAGGUAACGGCCCACCAAGGCGAUGAUGCGUAGCCGGCCUGAGAGGGUAAACGGCCACAUUGGGACUGAGACACGGCCCAAACUCCUACGGGAGGCAGCAGUAGGGAAUUUUCGUCAAUGGGGGAAACCCUGAACGAGCAAUGCCGCGUGAGUGAAGAAGGUCUUCGGAUCGUAAAGCUCUGUUGUAAGUGAAGAACGGCUCAUAGAGGAAAUGCUAUGGGAGUGACGGUAGCUUACCAGAAAGCCACGGCUAACUACGUGCCAGCAGCCGCGGUAAUACGUAGGUGGCAAGCGUUAUCCGGAAUUAUUGGGCGUAAAGAGGGAGCAGGCGGCAGCAAGGGUCUGUGGUGAAAGCCUGAAGCUUAACUUCAGUAAGCCAUAGAAACCAGGCAGCUAGAGUGCAGGAGAGGAUCGUGGAAUUCCAUGUGUAGCGGUGAAAUGCGUAGAUAUAUGGAGGAACACCAGUGGCGAAGGCGACGAUCUGGCCUGCAACUGACGCUCAGUCCCGAAAGCGUGGGGAGCAAAUAGGAUUAGAUACCCUAGUAGUCCACGCCGUAAACGAUGAGAACUAAGUGUUGGAGGAAUUCAGUGCUGCAGUUAACGCAAUAAGUUCUCCGCCUGGGGAGUAUGCACGCAAGUGUGAAACUCAAAGGAAUUGACGGGGGCCCGCACAAGCGGUGGAGUAUGUGGUUUAAUUCGAAGCAACGCGAAGAACCUUACCAGGGCUUGACAUCCCACUAACGAAGCAGAGAUGCAUUAGGUGCCCUUCGGGGAAAGUGGAGACAGGUGGUGCAUGGUUGUCGUCAGCUCGUGUCGUGAGAUGUUGGGUUAAGUCCCGCAACGAGCGCAACCCUUGUCGCAUGUUACCAGCAUCAAGUUGGGGACUCAUGCGAGACUGCCGGUGACAAACCGGAGGAAGGUGGGGAUGACGUCAAAUCAUCAUGCCCCUUAUGGCCUGGGCUACACACGUACUACAAUGGCGACCACAAAGAGCAGCGACUUGGUGACAAGAAGCGAAUCUCAUAAAGGUCGUCUCAGUUCGGAUUGAAGUCUGCAACUCGACUUCAUGAAGUCGGAAUCGCUAGUAAUCGCAGAUCAGCAUGCUGCGGUGAAUACGUUCUCGGGCCUUGUACACACCGCCCGUCAAACCAUGGGAGUCAGUAAUACCCGAAGCCGGUGGCAUAACCGUAAGGAGUGAGCCGUCGAAGGUAGGACCGAUGACUGGGGUUAAGUCGUAACAAGGUAUCCCUACGGGAACGUGGGGAUG
rnacentral:rRNA from 1 species